rnacentral:tRNA from 1 species
AUUAUCUUGGCAGAUAAGUGCAAUAAAUUUAGAAUUUAUAAAUAAAUUUUAUUAAAUUUAGAUAAUA